UUGAUCCAAAUUGAACCUAAAGAUUUGAGUCAAUGAGAAGUCCAAUCUGAAGAAAUUUGAGCCAUUAGAUCAAAUCUGAAGCAAAUUAAAUGAAAGACUCAGAUUUGAUUAAUUCUAACCGUUCAUCAAGAUCUGGUUGAUUUUGGCCAAUCUGUGUAGAUCUGACAUGAUCUGAGCCGCUCAUCUUGAUCUAGCCAUCUGGACCAUUCAAUGGGUUUCAGUUGAUCUCGACCGUUCACUCAAAUUUGAUCUCAGCCACUCCUUCGGAUCUGGGUUGAUCAGGACCGUCGGAUCGGAUUUGGGGGAAUAAAUCCACAAAGCAAGCAUUUCUGAUGGGGGGCAUCGCAUCUUCUCCCGUUCGGCUCCUUCUCACGCGACUGCCGUUUCUUCUCCUUCACCGACGGCCGGCGGCCACCUCCACUCAACCACCGCCGCCGGCCGGACACCAUCUCCUUCCUUCUUCUAUUCACACCGCAGCCAAGGAAUUUUGCCUCUACCGCUCAGUCUUCUCUCUGUUCGCGACGUCCUCUGUGUUCGCGGCAUUUCUUCCUCGCGCGGGCUAGGGUUCGCGACAGAUUCAACAGGCGACUUCAUUCCUCCGAGUUCUGAGUUCGAGCAACAACAUCUUCUCCAGAUUUGGUCAGCACAGCAUACUUCAAUUCCAGCACUACUUCCUUCAUCCGGACCAGAUUUGGCCAGUCACAGCUCCACCUUUUCUUCCACAGCAGUCUUCAAGUUCGAUCAGCAAUUCUUCAACAGAUCUGGACAGCUUUUGUUUGUUGCAGUUUCUUCACUUGAUUCGAAUUGAUAGUGAUGUUUCUUUUAGUUGAUUGUUUGAUGCUUGUAUUGAGUUGUUCUCCCUUGUUUUAGAUUUGCACGUACUCAUGUCAUUUCGAUUUAUGCUCAUAAGGUGUUCGACAAAAUGUUUCUUCCAACAGUAGGUUUAAAUUCGUGCACUUUAUUUCACUUAAUGUUUGCUUGUCUUAUCUUUUGCAAUUGCUAUAAGUUUUGUUCUUCAUUUGAAUGCAAUUAGGCUAGGGUAGAUUAGCUUUCUUUAAUGCUCUAAGUUACAUUCCAUGCUUAGUUUCAUUACAUGCUUACUUUAUGUUGUCUUUAAUUUCCUUGCAAUCAUAGUUUAAGUUAGACUAGGUUUUCUUAUUUCCAUCGUCUUUCAUUUACUACGUAGGCUCAUUUAAUGCAGUUUAAAUUUUAUAACUUCCACAACAGAAAAUUUUAUGUUAUUUGCCUACUACCAAUGCAGUUUAACUGAUUUAUAGCAUAAAUUAUAGAAAAUUGGUAAACUGGUUGGACCUGCACUUUAAGGAAGACAAGGUACUUAUAAUGUCAUAAAUUAUAGAUUCUGCUUUCUUAAAUUCAUGCGUAUUAAUAUUGUACACUGCUUCUUACAUUCUUCCUAAACUUAGUUUCUACAUUCUAGUAUCAUUUGUAGUCUUGCCAAGUAAACCUUAUAUGAAGAACAUAAUAUUGAAGUUGGCAUAAAUAUGUUUGGAAAAGAGUAGUAGAAUUUGGCCUUGAGCAAACAUAUAAUAAAUGGAAUGAUACUGCAUUCUAAUUCUGUUAUAUCUUGCAAAUUUAAGUGUGUCGCCCUCCACCUGUAGGCUUUUACAUACUUGCUCUUUCUUGUUUGCAUUGUUCAUCUCGCCAAUAGUUCUCUUAGAACAUCAAGAACUAUUUGGCUUUUUGAUUUGCAGCUUAAGCCAAAUCUUGGCCAAGAGAAAGAUCCGAUGGCAGGAAUUAUGGAUUUGAUGAAGAACAUGUAUGAAGAAGGCGAUGAUGAGAUGAAGCGGACGAUUGCCAAAGCCUGGUCUGAUGCAAGAUCUGGAAAAACGGCUGAUCCACUAAAAAAUUACCCAUGAAAAUAGGAGCACGAGGAUGGUUUUAUCUUUAACCAUUCCAGCACAUCUUUGUUUAUUCAGCUGACAACAUGAACUUUGACUGUUGAACUCGUUUUAGCUUUUUUAUUAUGCUAUAAAUCGUUUAUUUGUUGAACUCUCAUUAUAACUUCCACAACAGAAAAUUUUAUGUUAUUUGUCUACUACCAAUGCAGUUUAACUGAUUUUACAUUGACUGAACAAGGUUGAUUUUAUUUAGGUAUCAAACUCUCCCAUUUGUUUUAGAUAUUACAUGUCUUGUUUGUUAAUUUCUCCAAACCAUUAUUUCUCAAUUUGUUAACAAGGAAACUCAUGUUAGCAUAGUCAUAAUCAGAGCCUAAUUAUAGUUUACAAUUAUCUGAGUGUUAUUGAUUAACUGUUCUGUCCUUUCUUCUGGUUCCAUUUUUUUUUUAAAUUUGUGCACUCAUUUAGAUGAUUUAUUAUUCUUGUUGUGAUGAAUUCAGGUCUAAUGAAAAUAUUGAAGAAGUAUGACAAGAGAACAGGAGCACUUAUCAGGCAGCCCUUCAUCGAAAAGGUGCUGCAGCAGCCAUUCUUUACAACUGAUCUCCUAUACAAACUCGUGAAGGAGCGUGUGGCUAUGCUCGACCACCUCUUCCCCAGCAACAACCUGUCAAUUUCAGCAGAAUGCGACGGACAAAGUGGAGUGCCAAAGCCGGCACAAUCAGGUGGGAGGGUUCCGGAGAUGGAGGAGAUUAAAUAUAUGCAGAGCUUAUACAUGAAGAGCACCGUAGCAGCGCUGCGAUCCUCGAAACAGAUUAGGAGCAAAAGUUCAACAGUCAAAACAGAUUAGAAAAUCUUGUGUUAUAUUGUUCUACCUUUGUUUUAAUAGUGUUAUCAUUUUGUUGGUUGCUUAUGAAAUUUUAUUGGUUGCUUA